rnacentral:rRNA from 1 species
UACAUAGGGUGCAAGCGUUGUCCGGAUUUACUGGGCGUAAAGAGCGUGUAGGUGGUGGGAUAAGUCAAACUUUAAAUACUCUCGGCUCAACCAGAGUAUGGGUUUGAUACUGUCUUGCUAGAGAUUGGGAGAGGAAAGUAGAACUAACAGUGUAGCGGUGAAAUGCGUAGAUAUUGUUAGGAAUACCCGUGGCGAAGGCGGCUUUCUGGACCAAUUCUGACACUGAGACGCGAAAGCGUGGGGAU